GGAUGUGAAAGCCAUCUGGCUGUGACAUUACCCCAUUGAUCACCAGGGUUGAUUUGGCUGAUCUGGCUGGUUUGGCAGGUGUCCCCUUCCUCCCUCAUCACUCCAUGUGCGUCCUUACACUCCAUGUGGGUCCCUUUCUAGGCUGCAUGCUCGGUUGAAGAGGAUGACCAACAACGUUAGAGGAGGAAUGGUCUUAGGUCAAGGGUAUAAGAGUAGCUGUGCUACCCUGCUAGAACCGCCAAACAAGCUCUCAAGGUCCAAACAGUGGAAAAUGAAAGUUCAGGUUGAUUCAUGUUGGCAGGUUUUU
rnacentral:snRNA from 1 species